UAUGCAGAGAUAGAUGGUCUAGCGUGGUUCUCAGUGAGAUUUAUGGCAGAAGGGACAGUUACUAAAGUGGUCUGAGAUUUUGAUUAGGAGUGGGCACAGGAAGGUGACUAAGGGUGCAGGCAUUCGUUUGUUUGUUUUUUGUCUUUUGUUUUGGAAUUUCAUUUGGUUUUACGGGUUUUUUGAGGCAGGGUCUCACUAUGUAGACCAGGCUGACCUAAAAUUCAGAGAUCUACCGGCUUCUAUCACCGGUCCAGAGGCGUGCACCCCCACACCUGGUUCAUUAGAGCUGAGGACACUGCUCCGGUCCAGACCCUGCUUAUUGUGUGAAGCUGUGACCCAGAAUGGGUUAUUUCUUUCGCUGCAAACAAUGAAAUGAACACAAACAAUGAAAUGAAGCCAAACAAUGAAAACGAACACACAGUUUAAGAAACGGGCAAAUCGUUUAAACCGUGACUCUCAGUUCUGCAUUUAUAAAGCGCAGACCGCUGACUACGGUACAAAGCUAUAAAGAAGUGAACGGCACGUAUACCAAGCGCGCUGCUCAGGGGAACACAAAGCAAAGGCUACUGGACCAAGGACAUGCUAUUUUGGGAGAGCGGCUCUGUAUCCAUGUUAAUAGGAAAGAAGAAAAGGCUCUGGACCCCUUCCAGAGUGAUAUGGACCAGAUAAGAGAGGGGAAGACCUCCUGAAGAUCUUGGCUACAGAAAAGAAAAGUUUGAGAACAUCAAACAGGGCAGGUUCAUAUAUUGCAGGAUAUACAGCUCUGAUGGGAUUCAUCCUUGGGGAUGCUGAUGUGACCUGCUGUUCCAGCCCCCUGCCUCCUGAAGCUAUCUCCAGAGAAUUGCUUCCAGAACAGCUUCAGGAAUAGCUGGUGAUUCCAGAUGACCUCGCUUCAUCCAACCUUUCAGACAGAUCCAGUAAGAACUUCAGUCAAGCCCCAAGCCUUCUAAGCAUACAAAGACUGGAUAACAGAUACUAAAGCUAUUUUCCUACUCCUCCCCACUCCUUUAAAGAAUCUGUCAACACCUCUAUUCAGCAGGAAAAAGUUGUGAAGAGUCGUCAUCCCAAUCCCUUGGGUUUGGGUGUCUGGUUAUGGUUAUUUUAUAAAUUAUAGAUAGUUGUCAUUUUAAGGGAUAAUUUGGAAAUGGUCAUAAUUUUAAACAGGGAAGAAAUAGAUGAUGUGAAUUACUAAAUUUAUUCUUGAACAAAACAUUGUUUAGUUCUAUCUUACACGGAUAGAAAUCUUUAUACUUGAUAGAAAAUUGGAGUUAUAGUUUCUUACAUUGGUAUAGAAUUUAUAUAUUGAUAUAGAGUUAAGGUUUUCAUUGUUAUAAAUUUUUAUAUAUUGAUACAAAAUUUAAAAAUAAAUAUUGUUACUCUUAGG